rnacentral:lncRNA from 1 species
UCAUUUACUUGAAAACUGGCCAACAUGUAUCAAAUAAAUGUUUUAAGUGUUCUUUAAAUAUAUACAUUGUGUAUCGAUAGAAAGUGGAUGUAUGUUGAAAAAAUAAGACAGGUACAAACCUACCAAAAAGGAAAUAAAACCGAAAAAUAACAAAACAAAACAAAAGUUAACAAAGAAAGAAAAUAAACAAACCAAAGCUAAAGAAAAAAAAUCCCCAAAAAGGGUCAAAAAGCAAACAAAACCAGAGAAAAAAUAAAAUAAAAAAC